UAAAGGAAUGAUGAUCAUUAAGGGACUUAAUACUGAUGUAUGAUGUCACUUUUGCAGUUUCUGACCUUA
ensembl:snoRNA SNORD82 Small nucleolar RNA SNORD82